GCCGGUUUAGCUUAGUGGUAGAGCGUCAGUCUUGUAAACUGAAAGUCGGCGGAUCAAUCCCGCCAUCCGACU
rnacentral:tRNA from 1 species